rnacentral:rRNA from 1 species
AUUGAACGCUGGCGGCAGGCUUAACACAUGCAAGUCGAGCGAGCGGCGGACGGGUGAGUAAUGUCUGUGACAUUGCCUGAUGGAUGGGGAUAACUACUGGAAACGGUAGCUAAAACUGCAUAGCAUCAGAUGUGCCCUGAUUGGACUAGCUAGUAGGUGGGGUAAUGGCUCACCAAGGCGACGAUCCCUAGCUGGUCUGAGAGGGUGAACGGCCAAACUGGAACUGAGAAACGGUCCAGACUCCUACGGUAGGCAGCAGUGGGGAAUCUUGCCCAAUGGUCGAAAGCCUGAUGCAGCCAUGCCGCGUGUGUGAUGAAGGCCUUCGGGUUGUAAAGCACUGUCAGCGAGGAAGCGUUACUCACACAGGAAGCACCGGCUAACUCCGUGCCAGCAGCCGCGGUAAUUC